CAAAGGUCACCUUGACUUUUCAAUAAUUGAGUAAGCUUCAAAUGGAAGCUACCCAAUUCCUUCGUCCAUUAUUGAUCUGAACAUCCCUCUCUCCAUCUCCCAUUUUUCUUUUCUUUUUCUUCUUCUUUCCUUCUUCAAUUUCUGGCCAAAUGAGAGGCUGUCGGCCACCAUGGCAGUCCCUUUCCCUUGUGGACUCAAGCAAUCACCAAACACCACUGGAGACUUGUUUCCGAUCAGCACCAGCCAAACACCCAUCUUAGUGAACUGCUUCCACCAUCGAACACCGGAAUGUCCCCGACGAUGACCAAAUCGAAGCUGAAGGUCACCGAACGUCGAUCUCUCCACCUCCUUCUGAUCGUCCUUCGCAGCUCCCUCCCCACCUUAGACGAUGACAACGGCCCCAGCUGCCGCCUCCACUGCUUCUCCAUCGAUUGAAGCUGUUGAAAACACUUUUUUUAAUCAAUGACUACAACUGUUUCACAUCCUCCUUUGAGUUUGCUAGCGGCGACGGGAGUAGUGAACCAAGAGGAGCUCGCUAGAGAUCGUUUGCCCCUCUCCCUCCCUUCGCAUUUUCUGAUGCCGAAUCAAAAAACGGAACCGACGAAGAAGCUGCCAGAGCAGCCCAUCACCACUGCGGUCGGCGACAGCAGCCACCUGCUGCUUUCAUUUUCUUUCCUGGACCGUUGCCCGUCGAUCAGUCACCAUCGGACCUUCCCGAUCGCUGCCUUCUUCGUUCAUGUUCCUUUUUCCUUCUAGAUCGGAUGAAGACCGAUACCUGUCCCUUUUUUGUUUGUAUCAAUUGCCCAAAAACAGUCCCCCACUUAUAUUAAAUAAUCAAAAUCAGGCCUUUGACAUAAAUCUUUACAAGUCGUGUCCAGUUUGACUUAGUCAUUACAAAAAUGGUCCCUAUAUUGUUUUACAAAGAUCAAAAUUGUCCCUUUUGAUUUAAUUUAUCACAAAUCAGUCAUUUUUGUUAGACAAAUUACAAAACAAUCAUUUUUGCAUAUAAAGUAUUUCAAAACAAGUCCUUUAGUUUAAAGUAUUACAAAAAUAGUCAUGAGCUUUGUUUUAACUAAAAAAGACGUCGAGAUGUGGUUUUUCACGUGAAGCUUCACCAAAACCGAGCCUAGAUCGAGAUCAUGCAACGAAUGUAUCAAGCCUAAAUCAAGAUCACGCAUCGAAUAUGCAGAUAAAUAAUCCUAUGGAGAAAGCAUUAUUGGGAUUAGAACGUGAGAGAAUGCUCAUAUCUAACUCAUCUGAAGUAUACAUUGCCAAAGCAUACAAUGGUAUGAAAAUACCAUCCGAAGUAUACUGUGACAUCCCCAAAAUCACGGCCAGAAAAGACCGGUUUGUUUAUGCUUUAUAAAAAUUAGAGUACUUCAUUUCAUAAAAAUGUUGUGGAAUUUGUUCCCAGAAAAACAUGGUAAAUACGUUAUUAAAAUAUUUUUGAAGAAACGUAUUUAUUUUAUUUUAAAACGUUUGGGAUGUCAUCGUUAAUACAAAAACAUAAGCAUAAACAGAACUUACAAUUAUUUACACUAGUGAUCUACAUCUCUUUAAAUCUCUCAGUGUAUUGUGACUUCAUAUCAACAUCUGUGAUAUAAAUAAACUGAGUGGGUCAGGUUGGGAAACCUGGUGAGCACAUAGAGUUUUCAACCCACAAUAAUAUAAUUAUUAUUUUUAAACAUCAAACAAUCAACCCAAUUACUCAUUCCUGUUAUCCUCACAUUACGUCCCUAAAACAUCUAACACAAGGGACCUAGUCAAAGGACUAUCAUUGGGAUGGAGUAUAUCUGGUGAGCACACAGUUCACACAGUUCGAAUAAACACACAGUUCGGUUAAACACACAGUUCGACUAAACACCUACAGGUUGCGAGCCUGCUAGUGUUCCACUGGACUGUCUAGAAUAGUCCGUGGUCGUCAUCUAUACUCCGCUAGAUGACUAGAUCAUCAAGAACAACUAUAACGAGGCAUCUCAUUAUUUCAUUUUAUCACACAACAACUAAUACAUCUACCCAUGUUUUACCCAACACAUUUUGUAGAUAUAAAAUACAUAUACACUUUAAAUCAUUGAAAACAUGUAUAAAACAUUUAUCCAACAUAGAUAGCAAGUAUACAGAUAAUAUACACACACAGCACGUAAUUUAUAUAAAAUACUUCAUAUCUAUAUGUAAGCUGAAAGUAACUAUGCACUCACUUGAGUAGGUGGUGACUCAGCACUCGGACAACGCUUCGAUACUCUCAAAACGAUAUUCCUUCGAUAAAACCUAGUACCGAUACCACUAGGGUUUAGUUUAACGAUAACCGCGACAAAUUAAUUAGUCUGACUAUUAUUAAGCGUUAAUAACGCUCAAUAUAACUCAUAAUAAUAGCCCAAAUAAUUAUUUUAAGGACCUAAUAACAUUCAUAUAAUUAUUUGAAAGGUAUAUUAAAAAUUGCGUAAGCGUAGCAUACUUACAGCGAAUUUUAUCGAAAACCGAAACUUAAUUGGAGCAGCGUUUCGAAACCGAAAAACUCCUUUUUCUCGGGACUCCGGGAGCCUCGGGGCUUCCCUAGGGUGCUAAGGGGGUUUUCUAGGGUUUAGGGGGGGGGGGGGGUUUAGAUGAGCUAGAGAGAGAAACUAGUGAGAGAAAGAAGUGAAAAAUGGUGUGAGAAAUGAAGAACCCUCGCUGCCUUUUUAUAGGUGUGCGCCCUCGGUCGUACGCUGGGCGUACAGCAACACUACGCGGGGCGUAGUUCGGAUAAGGAUGCCACCUCGGACCAACUGUCUCGCAUUCGUCGGAAGGAUAAGGCCGAAGGGUACGCUGGGCGUACCGAACUCGGACGCAGGGUGUAGGGCGAAGCGACGUGUCCUUCAUCCGAAGUGAGCCGUGAUCAGCAAGCGACGGUUAGGAUUGAGCCACGUCAUCAGUCUCCCACAGAUUUCGCAAUUUCCACUCCCGACUUCUAAAAAUCACAACUUUCACAUACGAGCUCCGUUUUCGACGUUUUUUAUAUCCACGCGAAGGUGGGAACGUACUCUACAACUUUCGUUUAGAUUUCGUUGGCUAAUUUUGGCUCGAUUUUAAUUUUUAUAUUAUCAACGGGCCGGGACACGAUUGGUCCGUUAAAUCCUCAUAACUUCUUCAUCCGACAUCCGUUUUCGCCCAUCUUUUUCUCGUUAUGCUACUCUCAACGAGGUCUUCGAUUCUCGUUUAGGUUGUGUCGGCUAAAAACCGCUCGAUCUAAUAUUUGAAUUUCGGGCUGUACACUGCUAGUCCGAAACUUCGAAAAAUCAUAACUUCUUCAUACGAAGUCAGAUUUGGGCGUUAUUUUUAUCGAUGUUCUUAGUUUAACAUAUUCUACGACUUUCGUUUAGAUUGCUAAGGCUAAAUCUCGCUCUAUCGUAAAUUCACUAUUUACGCUUCCCGGUAUCGUGUCGGUUCCGUCGCGAAACUUCAACGGGUCAUAACUUCUUCGUUAUAACUCAGAUUUCGGCGUUCUUUAUAUGUACGAAAACCUUGUAACAUACUCUACAACUUGGUUAAAAUUAUUUAUUCUAAAUAAUCUUUUGUCGAAAAGUCGUUUUCGACCCCCAUUGCCUCUAAUUUGACUAGCCCGGAUUUGCGGGCGUUACAUAUACAGUGGUAUGAAAAUACCACCAAAAGCAUACAAAAAUGAAAUAUACAGUGAUAUAAAUAUAUAACCAAAACAUACAUUGAUAUGAAAAUUCUCAUAUCAACAUUUGAAAUAUUAAAAGCAAACAAAUAUGAGCAGUCCUUCCGGUACCUAAAAGGCACAAGUAUUCAGACAGCAGACAUAUUGAAAUGGAAGCAAUCAUGAAGCAAAUACAACACCAGCUCAAACAGAAGCAGGAGCAAAAAGCAUCAUUAAUUAAACAACUUGAACUAGUCAAUCGUGAAGAAGAGCAACUAUAAAAGACACUACAAAUUUUAUCAUCUUAUUCAGCACCUAAAGAAGAAGCAGCUAGUAGCUCAACAACAAAGCAACAAAAAGAACACAUUCAAGAAAUAUCAUCCGAUGAUAGUCAACCACAAACAAUACAUAAAAUAGAAAAACAACCUAUGCCACCAAACCAAGAAGAAUAUCCACUACUUCAAGCCGAUCAUAAAAACAUAAAGAAAUGGUAUGUGAUUUUCAAUGGAGAAAACAAAGGAAUAUAUGACAAUUGGGGAAUUGCCAACUCAUAUAUUCUUUGAAAAAAUGUCAUUCAAAAAAGUUACAAAACAAAAAAUGAAGCAGAAGCUGCAUACAGAGAAGCAUACAAAGAAGUCAUAAAAAGAUAAUGUCGAAUGUUCAAAAACAAUUCUCCUUGCACCACAAAAACCCAUAUCCAGCUAUUUCCACCACACAGAAACCUGUAUCCAUCCCAAAAUCUCUUAAUCAACUACAUGCCAAAAUUGCCCUUGAAGCCAUUCCAUCAACCAAAGAAAAAGAAGCCACGAAAAAACCAACUACCCAAAAAUUUGCUAAACUAUGGCAUAGUCUAGUCUCAUACACAGAAGUUCAUUAUUUAAUGGGUUUCUACCCAAUAAAUUAUUCUAGUAAAAACUUCGUUAUAUAUUCUUUAACAGACAGUGAAAGAACCCCAGAAGCAUUAAAGGUAAUCGAAACUUUUGAACAACCGUUCAAAAAGUUUUCCCAUCAAUUAGCAGAAUUAUCUAAUGAUCUAAAGAAACAACUUUGUAAACAUAUCAUGAAAUUGUUGCAAUCGUAUGAUUGCAAUACGACAAACAUAUGUUUACAUUUUAGACCCCUAGACUAUGGAGGGUCUUACACUUUAUGUUAAAUCCUACCGACACUACAUUAUUUAAGACAAUAAUUAUACAAUGAGGGUCUUACACUUUAUGUCGUAUUGCAAUAGAUAGGGCUUUGCUAUUUAGAAAUAAACAAACAUGUAUUUACAUUUUAGACCCCUAGACCCUCCAUAGUCUAGGGGUCGGAAAUGUACAUAUAUGUUUGUCGUAUUGAAAUCAUAGGCUCGAAAGAGUCGGUUACAAUUAUGGUUGCAAUCGUAUGAUUGCAAUACGACAAACAUAUAUUUACAUUUUAGACCCCUAGACUAUGGAGGGUCUUACACUUUAUGUUACAUCCUACCGACACUACAUUAUUGCGUAUACAGACAAUAAUUAUAUAACGACAAAUAACAAAUAAUUACAAUCCCUUCUACACUAAAAGGACAAGUGUCUUCAAUAAUGAUUUUUUACAUCAUUGCUUGCGUCAUUCCUCCCGCCACCGAAAGGACAAAUUUUUCUGAAUGAUGUGUGCUUCGGUCAUGCCUGACGUUAGUCUUCCAUGAAUAGUGUUUUUUCCUUAUCUGAGUUGUUUCAUGAUGGCUUGUAUUCUCUGGUUAAUGUGUCUGCUAUAUGAUUGUUGGUGCUUUUGAUAUACUUGAGGUAUGGAUGAAACUGAUGUAAUUGUAAUUGUCAACGGAUUAAACGUCCACGACAAUAAUCUUCUUGUAAUUUAUAUUGCCAAAUGCCAAGUAGAUAUUAAUAAUGAUUGAUGAAUUUUCUA